GAGCCGUACUGUUAUGAAGUCUGCUUUCAUCAUUCGAGUUUCAUGUUUGUUAGCCCAAGAUUGUCCUCGGAUGUAUGACCAGAAUGGCGAACUCAAAGCAGCCUUCAAAUGGCCACAAUUAUAGGCCGGAAUGUGAUGACAUGCUUCCCAGCGUUGAACAAAUUCUCAACGAAAAAAUGUCGUUGUUUGAACGAGCAUUGAACACGGCCCAUAGCCAGCAAGAGCGGCGACGGGUCGAGGAGAUACGCACAAGUUGCGAGGAUCGAGUCGACAAGUUCGCAACAGCACUCACGAAAGCAUGCGAGACAACGUCUGAAAAAAUGAUACAGCAAAUGGAUGAGAAAACAAAGCUACUUCUUGCUGAAAAGGAGCGGGAAAUGGAGGAAGACAGCCGGAAGAAGUCGGAAGAGUUCGCGAGGCGCUGCCUACGAGCACGCGAAAAUUUACAAACAGAGCUGGAAAAAGAAGCCGAUCGAGAGGCGACCAGGUUGAAAAACAAGGUAGACGAGGCCACAGGGAAGCUCCGGUCAGAUUAUACGCAGGAUCAUAGCAAGCGGUGCUCAUCGCUGGCAGACUCCGUCAGGCGGGAUGCAGCGGCGACCUUGGCUGCGGACGAGGCGGCCGUCAUGCGGAAGCAUCGUCAGCGCAUGCUGGAUACCAUAGCCAGCACGACCCAGCGAUACGAUUUCCUGCUGCGGGAUGUGGAGCGUCGCUCGAUGGACGACCACCUGCACUUGUCGGCCCAGCUGCUCGAGCUGCAACUGUCGCAGUCGUUGGGAGCAGCGGAGAUGGAAAUGCUUGAACAUACCCGCCAGUGGUGCGGGCGAAUGGGUCAGCCGCUUCAGGCCCUGGGCGAUGCUGUGCCAGAGCUGGGCGAAGUGCGACAACGGCUGGAAGCAAGGCAUCACCUGCGGAAGUACAAGCUGAAAGGUGAUUGACGAAGAACACUCAUAUCACGUAGAAACACUCCAGACUUGUGACCACUGUGUGUGCCGCUGUGCAGGCACUGCUACAGGGCGCAAACUUGACUCACAAUUGCUACCGGAGAAGGUCGUCCAACGCCACCUUCGAACCAACCAGUGCCUCCGUAUACUCGAUUGAUGAUACCGUCAGCACCACUCCUCUGUGGAUGCCCUCUGCCUUCCCACUGACAGUCUCUUCGCUGCCAAGGACAGGGGAAAUGUGACCGGACUAUGCACAUUGGACAUGUCGAACACAUUUGACAAAGUCUGCCACACCCAGCUCAUUGUUGAUCUGUUUGAUGUCGGUGUGUGCGAAUCGCCCCCGCCUGGUUUGCAAGCUACCUGACGACGCAAGAGCAGAUGGUUUGCAUUCGGCCAACCACGAGUCAGGCCACCCCCUGCAUGUGCGGGGUGCUGCAAGGAUCUGUUCUAGGUCCUGUGCUAUUUUCCAUUUACACCCGCCACAUUCCCUCCGUCCUGCACCCUGUACCCAGCAUCCAGUUUGCAGAUAGCAUAGCAUUGUAUUCAUCGCAGAGUUCUGCUGGCGCUGCCCUGCGCUACGUUCAACCAAGAGUACAUAACCCCCCAGAGUGUGCAACGCCUGAUCCAGCUCUGCAUAGGGUCUUGGUCGAGCGUAAUUGGAUCUUCUGAUGUCAUGCGUACACUCCACACCAGCACAAGGCCGGUCUCGAGGCAGAGUACCGUUGAUUUUGAUCCGAGAGUACCCGCGACUCCCCGGGUUCCCCUCAGAUGUGCACAGUAUGUAUAAUAUGACGCAAAGAUCCGAUUACGCUCGACCAAGACCCUACGCAGAGCCGGAUCAGGUGUUGCACACUCUGGGGGGUUAUGUACUCUUGGUUCAACGGAACGUCCAACCUGAAAUGCUAAGAACGCCACAGCCUAAAUGACGGUGUUGGUUUUCCGGCAGCUUUUGGAAUAUUUAAUGAUCCAAUACAAAUUGUUUCUAAGAACGUGCUAUCAGAAGGCAGCAAGAUUGCUGAAAGAUAAGAAUGCCCCAGGCUAACCCCUUGGAAACAAGUUAGGGCAUCCAACUCUACUGUAACCAGUCUGCGCUGUACAUCAUCACAUCUCUUUGCUGUACAUCAUCACAUCUCUUUGCUGUACAUCAUCACAUCUCUUUGCUGUACAUCAU